UACAGAGGGUGCAAGCGUUAAUCGGAAUGACUGGGCGUAAAGGGUGCGUAGGUGGCAAUAUAAGUUAGAUGUGAAAUCCCCGGGCUUAACCUGGGAACUGCGUUUAAGACUGUAAUGCUAGAGUAUGUGAGAGGAAAGUGGAAUUUCCGGUGUAGCGGUGAAAUGCGUAGAUAUCGGAAGGAACACCAGUGGCGAAGGCGACUUUCUGGCACGAUACUGACACUGAGGCACGAAAGCGUGGGGAGCAAACAGG
rnacentral:rRNA from 1 species